CUAGUACUUCCUCCGUCCGAAAAUACUUGUCAUCAAAAUAAAUAAAAGAGGAUGUAUGUAGAUAUAUUUUAGUUCUGGAUACAUUCCUUUUUAUCUAUUUUAAUGACAAGUAUUUUCGGACGGAGGGAGUAUCAG
rnacentral:pre_miRNA from 1 species